UACGUAGGGAGCAAGCGUUGUCCGGAAUCAUUGGGCGUAAAGAGCGUGUAGGCGGCCAACUAAGUCCUGCGUGAAAUCUCGGGGCUCAACCCCGAGCGGUCGUGGGAAACUGGUUGGCUAGAGUGCGGGAGAGGAGAGUGGAAUUCCUGGUGUAGCGGUGAAAUGCGCAGAUAUCAGGAAGAACACCCGUGGCGAAGGCGGCUCUCUGGAACGCAACUGACGCUGAGACGCGAAAGCGUGGGGAGCAAACAGG
rnacentral:rRNA from 1 species